AUCUUGAUGGGCUAAUGGUUAGAGCUUAGGUCUUGUAACCGAAAUGUCGCGGGAUCGAAUCCCGCUAGAGGCU
rnacentral:tRNA from 1 species